rnacentral:rRNA from 1 species
UCUGGCGGUCUUUGGCCGUCCGAGUUGUAAUCUAGAGAAGUGUUAUCCGCGCUGGACCGUGUACAAGUCUCCUGGAAUGGAGCGUCAUAGAGGGUGAGAAUCCCGUCUUUGACACGGACUGCCAGGGCUUUGUGAUACGCUCUCAAAGAGUCGAGUUGUUUGGGAAUGCAGCUCAAAAUGGGUGGUAAAUUCCAUCUAAAGCUAAAUAUUGGCGAGAGACCGAUAGCGAACAAGUACCGUGAGGGAAAGAUGAAAAGAACUUUGGAAAGAGAGUUAAACAGUACGUGAAAUUGCUGAAAGGGAAACGCUUGAAGUCAGUCACGUUUUCUGGGAAUCAACCUUGCUUUUGCUGGGCGUACUUUCCAGAUGACGGGUCAGCAUCAAUUUUGACCGUUGGAUAAAGUCUGGAGGAAUGUGGCAUCUUCGGAUGUGUUAUAGCCUCUAGUUGCAUACAACGGUUGGGAUUGAGGAACUCAGCACGCCGCAAGGCCGGGUACUUGUACCACGUUCGUGCUUAGGAUGCUGGCAUAAUGGCUUUAAUCGACCCGUCUUGAAACACGGACCAAGGAGUCUAACAUGCCUGCGAGUAUUUGGGUGGAAAACCCGAGUGCGUAAUGAAAGUGAAAGUUGAGAUCCUUGUCAUGGGGAGCAUCGACGCCCGGACCAGACCUUUUGUGACGGAUCUGCGGUAGAGCAUGUAUGUUGGGACCCGAAAGAUGGUGAACUAUGCCUGAAUAGGGUGAAGCCAGAGGAAACUCUGGUGGAGGCUCGUAGCGAUUCUGACGUGCAAAUCGAUCGUC